UCUACUUUACUGUCUUCAA
rnacentral:snRNA from 1 species